rnacentral:rRNA from 1 species
UUAAGCUACUAAGAGCACACGGAGGAUGCCUAGGCGCUAGGAGCCGACGAAGGACGUGGCGAACAACGAAACUGCCUCGGGGAGCUGUAAGCAAGCUUUGAUCCGGGGGUGUCCGAAUGGGGAAACCCGGCUGUGGUAAUACGCAGUCACUCGCAUCUGAAUACAUAGGAUGCGUAGAGGCAUACCAGGGGAACUGAAACAUCUAAGUACCCUGAGGAAGAGAAAACAAGAGUGAUUCCGUCAGUAGCGGCGAGCGAACGCGGAACAGCCUAAACCAGAGAGCUUGCUCUCUGGGGUUGUGGGACGUCUCACAUGGAGUUACAAAGGAACAGGUUAGACGAACAGGUCUGGAAAGGCCGGCCGUAGAAGGUAAAAGCCCUGUAAUUGAAAGUCUGUUCCCUCCGAGACGGAUCCCGAGUAGUGCGGGGCACGUGAAACCCCGUAUGAAUCUGCCAGGACCAUCUGGUAAGGCUAAAUACUCCCUAGCGACCGAUAGUGAAGCAGUACCGUGAGGGAAAGGUGAAAAGCACCCCGGAAGGGGAGUGAAAAAGAACCUGAAACCGUGUGCUUACAAGAAGUCAGAGCNUCUCGAACACGACCGUUAAGCCCUCCAGCGCCGAUGGUACUUGGACCGCAGGGUCCUGGGAGAGUAGGACGUCGCCAAGCGCAGCCCAUUUUAUGGGUUGCCUUUUAAAUUUAACAUUACUUUUACGGGCCCUUAGCUCAGCUGGUUAGAGCGCACCCCUGAUAAGGGUGAGGUCGGUGGUUCGAGUCCACUAGGGCCCACCAUACAACUCCAUAUUCACUUAUACGUGCUUUGGAGUGGCGUAUGGGGCCAUAGCUCAGCUGGGAGAGCGCCUGCCUUGCAAGCAGGAGGUCAGCGGUUCGAUCCCGCUUGGCUCCACCAUAAAUGCUAUCUCUUCCAUAACUUACCGCUUGAUUGGUGAGUGUGGACUUGAUAAGAUAGUCUUCCGCCAGUAAAGUGGUGGUGGAACAAUUUGUUGAAAUGUUGAACGUCACCUUGCGUGAUCGUUACAAAAUUUCAUCAUUGCUGAUCAUUACAACCUCACGAAGUGAUGGCUGCGCAUGAUCGAGCAUUUGAUCCUUGAAAACUGGAUAACGAAACGAAAUUUGCGUUUUAGAAAUAUUCCUUUUCUGAUGAAUUUAAAUGAGCUGCAAAGCCAAAUUAAAAUUCAUCAUAGCUGAACUUGUGUCAAAACAAGUGAAGUGAAAAGUGGCUAGCGAAGGUUUUGGGACUGGAGAUCCUUUGUGAGGCGAUUUCUACCUUGUAUGAAUUUACUUGAUCAAGAAAUCGACGAACAACAGAGCGCCAGGCGCAAAACCGAAGCAUUAUGGUUAAGCUACUAAGAGCACACGGAGGAUGCCUAGGCGCUAGGAGCCGACGAAGGACGUGGCGAACAACGAAACUGCCUCGGGGAGCUGUAAGCAAGCUUUGAUCCGGGGGUGUCCGAAUGGGGAAACCCGGCUGUGGUAAUACGCAGUCACUCGCAUCUGAAUACAUAGGAUGCGUAGAGGCAUACCAGGGGAACUGAAACAUCUAAGUACCCUGAGGAAGAGAAAACAAGAGUGAUUCCGUCAGUAGCGGCGAGCGAACGCGGAACAGCCUAAACCAGAGAGCUUGCUCUCUGGGGUUGUGGGACGUCUCACACGGAGUUACAAAGGAACAGGUUAGACGAACAGGUCUGGAAAGGCCGGCCGUAGAAGGUAAAAGCCCUGUAAUNCUGCCCGGUGCUGGAAGGUUAAGGGGAGCGGUUAGGGAGUAAUCCCGAAGCUGUGAACCGAAGCCCCAGUAAACGGCGGCCGUAACUAUAACGGUCCUAAGGUAGCGAAAUUCCUUGUCAGGUAAAUUCUGACCCGCACGAAUGGCGUAACGACUUGGGCGCUGUCUCAACGAGAGAUCCGGUGAAAUUUUAAUACCUGUGAAGAUGCAGGUUACCCGCGACAAGACGGAAAGACCCCAUGGAGCUUUACUACAGCUUGAUAUUGAACUUUGAUGCGAUUUGUACAGGAUAGGUGGGAGCCUAGGAAUCCGGAGCGCCAGCUUCGGUGGAGGCAUCGUUGGGAUACCACCCUGAUCGUAUCGAAGUUCUAACCUAGGACCGUGACCCGGUUCGGGGACAGUGUCAGGCGGGUAGUUUGACUGGGGCGGUCGCCUCCUAAAGAGUAACGGAGGCGCCCCAAGGUUCCCUCAGAAUGGUUGGAAAUCAUUCGUAGAGUGCAAAGGCAAAAGGGAGCUUGACUGCGAGACUGACAAGUCGAGCAGGGACGAAAGUCGGGCUUAGUGAUCCGGUGGUACCGCAUGGAAGGGCCAUCGCUCAACGGAUAAAAGCUACCCUGGGGAUAACAGGCUUAUCUCCCCCAAGAGUCCACAUCGACGGGGAGGUUUGGCACCUCGAUGUCGGCUCAUCGCAUCCUGGGGCUGAAGUAGGUCCCAAGGGUUGGGCUGUUCGCCCAUUAAAGCGGUACGCGAGCUGGGUUCAGAACGUCGUGAGACAGUUCGGUCCCUAUCUGUCGUGGGCGUAGGAAAUUUGAGAGGAGCUGUCCUUAGUACGAGAGGACCGGGAUGGACGCACCGCUGGUGCACCAGUUGUUCCGCCAGGAGCAUAGCUGGGUAGCUACGUGCGGAUGGGAUAAACGCUGAAAGCAUCUAAGCGUGAAGCCCUCCUCAAGAUGAGAUUUCCCAAUUUAGUAAGACCCCUUGAAGACGACGAGGUUGAUAGGCCUGAGGUGGAAGUGCAGCAAUGUAUGGAGCUGACAGGUACUAAUCGGUCGAGGGCUUAUCCAA